UACGUAGGGGGGCUAGCGUUGUCCGGAAUCAUUGGGCGUAAAGCGCGUGUAGGCGGUUCGGUAAGUCCGCUGUGAAAGUCGAGGGCUCAACCCUUGAAAGCCGGUGGAUACUGUCGGGCUAGAGUGCGGAAGAGGCGAGUGGAAUUCCUGGUGUAGCGGUGAAAUGCGCAGAUAUCAGGAAGAACACCCGUGGCGAAGGCGGCUCUCUGGAACGCAACUGACGCUGAGACGCGAAAGCGUGGGGAGCAAACAGG
rnacentral:rRNA from 1 species